ACAACUUUCAACAACGGAUCUCUUGGUUCUCGCAUCGAUGAAGAACACAGCGAAAUGUGAUAAGUAAUGUGAAUUGCAUAAUUCAGUGAAUCAUCGAAUCUUUGAAUGCAUCUUGCACUCCUUGGUAUUCCGAGGAGUAUGCCUGUUUGAGUGUCAUAAAA
rnacentral:rRNA from 1 species